rnacentral:misc_RNA from 1 species
GGAACACUCAGCUAUAGAUUGAACCUCGAAGAUUUCCCCGCGAACGCCAGAGCAUAUGCAUAUUUUGCUGAAAUUGAAGACUUGGGAGCUAAUGAGACGCGGAACGAAAAUUCAAAUUGUUAAUGGAUCCUGAUAUGUCUGACUAUAGCAAUGCAGUGGUAAAUAUUGCAGAAAAUGCCAAUGGGAGCUACAGACUUUAUGAACCCAGCUACAUGAAUGUGAGUCUAGAUUUUGUUCUGUCAUUUUCGUUUGUUAAGACUCGCGAUUCUACUCAAGGACCACUCCUCAAUGCAAUUGAGAUUAGUAAAUACCUGAAGAUCGAAUCGAAGACGGAAAGCCAAGAUGUGGCCGGU